rnacentral:tRNA from 1 species
UAGAAAGUAGUAUAAUGGUAGUACACGAGGUUUUGGGCUUUGUGGUAUGGGUUCAGAUCCCAAGUUUCUAG